AUCUUUUAUGAAUAAAGUAUAUUAUUGCAAAAAAAAGUUUAAACUGAGGCGCGAUUAUUGCUUAAUGAAAACUUUUCCCAGUACCCCGCUAUGGUGACUUGCAACACAGUCACUAUUAGCAAUUUUUGGUCAUCUCUUCGGAGA